AGACGUCGUGGCCGCAGGAAUGGCAUAGGCUUGCAAAGCCGAAGUUGGCGGUUCGAGUCCGCCCGGGGUCUU
rnacentral:tRNA from 1 species